rnacentral:rRNA from 1 species
GACGAACGCUGGCGGCGUGCCUAAUACAUGCAAGUAGGACGCAGUUGCGAACGGGGGAGUAACGCGUAGGUAACUACCUAUUAGAGGGGUAUAACUAUUGGAAACGAUAGCUAAUACCGCAUACUAGUAGAUGGACCUUCGUUGUAUUAGCUAGUAGGUAGGGUAAUGGCCUACCUAGGCAACGAUACAUAGCCGACCUUGGAGGGGGGUCGGCAACACUGGGACUGAGAAACGGCCCAGACUCGUACGGGAGGCAGCAGUAGGGAAUCUUCGGCAAUGGGGGGAAACCUGACCGAGCAAAGCCGCGGGAGUGAAGAAGUUUUUCGGAUCGUAAAGCUCUGUUGUGAAGAAAGCGGUACUUAACCAGAAAGGGACGGCUAACUACGUGCCAGCAGCCGCGGUAAUUC